rnacentral:rRNA from 1 species
GAUGAACGCUGGCGGCGUGCCUAAUACAUGCAAGUCGAGCGAACAGACGAGGAGCUUGCUCCUCUGACGUUAGCGGCGGACGGGUGAGUAACACGUGGAUAACCUACCUAUAAGACUGGGAUAACUUCGGGAAACCGGAGCUAAUACCGGAUAAUAUAUUGAACCGCAUGGUUCAAUAGUGAAAGACGGUUUUGCUGUCACUUAUAGAUGGAUCCGCGCCGCAUUAGCUAGUUGGUAAGGUAACGGCUUACCAAGGCAACGAUGCGUAGCCGACCUGAGAGGGUGAUCGGCCACACUGGAACUGAGACACGGUCCAGACUCCUACGGGAGGCAGCAGUAGGGAAUCUUCCGCAAUGGGCGAAAGCUUGACGGAGCAACGCCGCGUGAGCGAUGAAGGUCUUCGGAUCGUAAAACUCUGUUAUUAGGGAAGAACAAAUGUGUAGGUAACUAUGCACGUCUUGACGGUACCUAAUCAGAAAGCCACGGCUAACUACGUG